UAAUAAAAUUUAAUGAUCUAAUAAUUAAAUUGAUUUAUUGCAUUCAAAAUACAUGUAUUUGUUUAUUGAGUUUCGAUUGUACAGUCAGUCCAUUGUUUACGGUUUGCCAUUUAAAUCUUUACAACCAUAUAUUUAAACAUACGAAAGAAUAUGCUUUGAAGCGCCUCGUGGACUUUUGUCAUAUAUAAACACGUGUUCCCGCUCAAUUUUCAUUCAAUGAUUAUUUCUCAACAGAAUUGCACAAGGAUAGGACCAGAGCGUAAAUAAGAUAAGUUGGUUAAGUUUAUCCGUUAUACUUUAGAUAUGUUUCCUUUUAUUCAUUUUAAUUCACUAUAAUAAUUUGGUUUAUAUUUAAAGAGCAAACCUUUUUUUACCUGUGAGUUGAAAUUCUGUGACGAUAAAGUAAAACGGGUAACUUUAAAUUUAACACGUGUUCGCAUGUGUUCGUAUAGUUAUAUGUUUCUCGUCACGUUCAUUAUUAAAUUAAUGAAUUGUUUAAUGUCACUUUAAUUAGAUUUAUAUAUAUAUAUGUGCUUAUUUAUGACCAUUCAAUUUCAUUUACUUGUGGUUGUUGCAUUUAAUUCACAGUUCGUUAACAAGGUAUUUUUAUCGAAUAGAAGAAAUGAAGUAAGCCGGAGAUUAAGACCAAGGGUAAACAACGUUGGAGUUCAACGACCUGCUCCUCGUGAAUUACCAGCACCAGAACAGGUACCCGUUCCUGAGGAAGUUGUCCGAGUGGUAAACAGAGGAAGACACGGAAAAAGAAGGCGUGCAGCGCCCGAGCUUCAACAACCAGAUCAACUUGUGGAGCCCAAUAAUCAACCUCCACCUCAGAAACAACUGACAACUACGGCAGUUCACGCUCAACCGGGUAAUACUUUAAAUACUACUGUACUUUGUUUAUACCAUGUUCUAAUGAAAUUAACAUAAUUAUUUCUCAGCAAAUAACAGAGAAAAUUUGGAAUUGUAAAAAUGUUGAUUUUGGUACUCUUCUUCAACAAAAUAGUCAAUAUUAUAGUAGUUUGGACCAGAAACAAAGUGUAAUGGUUAAAAAAUGGAAUGCUUGUCAUUUCUCAUUACCCUUCAAAGGACAAUACAAUAAAUAACAUUGAAUUAUGGACUGAAGCAUUUGAAGUUUUUUUCUAAAAUACUUCUUCAAAAACAUGCUAGCUUAGCACAAGACUUGUUUACAUACAUGUUAAUCAUAAGAGUUUUUAUAUCAGAUGCACAUUUUGACAGAGUUUACCCGUAUAAUGGAAAAUUUAGAUUAAGUGUAUCACUAAAACACUCUAAAUCUUUGUCUGAGAUUGAUGGCUUUCUUUGGUUGAAAUUCAUUGUAAAGGGAUCGCAAGGCACACCUAAUCCUGUAGUCUGCCAGGCUAACUUACAAAGACAUUGUUAUGAUUAUAACUUUAAAGGUUAUUGUCAGAAAUCUCAGUGUUUUACAGACAUAACUGUAUGAAAUGUUCAUUACAACAUCCAGUCUUAUGUGUUAGAUUUGAUAGCUUACAAAGUAACCAAGGUUAUCAUAAGGGAUCAUUGAUGCCACCAGUGUUUAUCCAAAAUAGAUCUCAUAUGUCUAACCAGUUUCGACAAAACAGGCUUUCAUUUGUUCAACAAAAAGAUAUAGGUCACCAAUAAACACAAGGUAUUUCGUCCCUAGAUUUAAUCAAAUGACAUAUAGUUAACUUUUCUUUCAGAAUUGUCAAAGGAUAAAUAUGAUAUUUGGAAGAAGGGACAUUCACCUAUUAAUAUUGAACAAUUAAGAUUAUCCUAAUGAACAGGACAAACAAAUUUUGUUUAUUGGUUUUAAAUUUGGAUUUAGAUUGAAUCAUAAUUGACCAAGAUUUCCACUUGAAUCAAAAAAUUAAAAUCUGUUUUGACAUAUCCUAUUGGAGCUAAAUGUAAGAUUGAAUCUGAAAUAUCGUUAUGAAGAAUAGCAGGUGCUCUUUGUAAGAGACCAAUAUCUAAUCUUAGAUAUUCUCAUAUUGGAUUAGUAACAAAAAAAAAACAAAAUAAAAAAAACCCAGGUUUUUCGUCUGAUUACCCAUUUAUCAUAUCAGCCAUGGAGCAGCGUUAACGACUUCAUCGAUGAAAGGUUUACCUCUGUUAAAUAUUCUUCAUUUGAUAAUGCUGUUGAUUACUUCCGGUUUAUACAUGAGAUUUUGACUAACUUGGUUUUAAAAUUGUAAAUGAAUACUACAUAGACGAGGCAAUGACAUUGGGCUGCUCAAUUUCAUAUACUAAAUUUGAGAAGUUUUUAGCCUUUUUGAAUUGGUUUUAAAAAUAAGUCUGGUUUAAAUAAUAUAGACCACUAUUUGGAAGAAUUUUAAUAUUGUUGGCUAAUCAGAUUCUGAUGAAUGUGAACAACUGAUGUUUCAGAAUGAUGAAAUUUGCAAAGAUAUUGUAGUCUCACUUGCAAAAAAAAAAAAAAAAAAAAAAAAAAAUGAAGGUCCAACUACACUGAUUGAAUAUCUGGGUCUUACAAUUGAUACUGUUAAUAUGCUUGUUUAAAUUCCACAUGAAAAGAUUGAAGAACUUUUAAACAGAAUUAAUAAUUUAUAAGCCAUGAAAAAAGUAACGUUAAAAGAAUUGCAGUCAAUAUGUGGUUCAUUAGUUUUCUGCACGAAGGCUAUACCUGCUGGAAGAGCGUUUAGUUGUAUUCGACCAUGGACAAAGUGUCAAAACUGUUUCACUUUUAUCUAUUGAUAUGGAAAUUAUUUUUGGAACAGUAUAAUAGGAUUUCGUAUUUAAAUGAUAUAGGAUGGAUAUCAAAUUUUUAUUUUGAACUAUAUACAGAUACUGCUGGUGAAUAAGGUAAAGGGUGUGCAAUUUAUAUUAAUGGUCAAUUGAGUGGCAUAAAGAAUGUAAUAGUUCAGAAAUAAUUGAAGAUAUAACAUAUUUUGAAAUCAUUCCAAUAACACUGGUUUGAUAAAUUAUACAAGAAACAUACUUUUUCCCAUUGAUAACCUGGCAGUAGUGAAUGUUUUAAACAAAAUGUCAAGAAAAUAUUAACUAGUUUCGUCCGUUUUUAGUUUAAUUAUUCACUGUUCACUAAUUGGUAAUUUUCAGUUUAAAGCUGUUCACAUUUUGUCAAAGGACAAUGCAAUUGCUGAUGCAUUAUCUCGUGCAAAUUUUCAGAAAUUUCAAUGUCUGCACCACUUGACAGCGAUUUUCCACAUCCAAUUCCAGUGGAGUUCUGGAACCUUUUAAAGAUGAAGUGACUAAACUUUUAAGGCAAUCUGUUUCUUCAAAUACAAUGGAUGUGUAUGAAAAUGCAUCUAUUCAUUCAUAAAUUUCUGACCUGUUUUCGAAUAGAGGAAAGUUGGCCACCUCCUGUUAAUCAUACAAUUAAUUUACAUAGCUUUCAAAAAUAGUUAUUCCUAUAACCUUCAAAAACAUAUCUAUCAGGAAUUAAUCAUAAGUUGAAAAUGAAUAAUUGAAAUGAUUAUAGCAAAUCAUUUAUUUUGAAAAUAAUGUUAAAAGGUAAAAAAGUAAAAGAAAACCUAUUUCUGUUGAUGUAUUAAAACAACUUGAAUUAAUUCUUCAAUGUUUGUAAAUGUUUAGGGGAGGAUUUGCUUAGGCCUUUUUUGGAUUUAUGAGAAUUAGAGAAAUCACAAAACUGAUAAUCAUGUUUAAAAAAAUUCAGAUAUUAAAUUUGAUGAUAUUAAUUCUAAAGUUUUUGUUACAAUUAUGUCUUCUAAGAAGGAUCAAAUUGGUUGUUCGACAAGUUAAAUGUGGACUUCAAAUGAUAAUGAUGAUGAACAUUGUGUUGUCAAAACAUUAACAGAUGACUUACAGUUACAUACAAGUUGAUGUGGGCAGGAAUUUCCGGUAUGUCACUAUAUAAUUUUGUACCAAUAGAAGAGAAUGUGAUACAUGGUGGGGGUUUACCAGAUGCUGUUUUGCUUCACUGUGGUGGCAAUGAAAUUAGACUUGUAAACUGUGUAAAAACUUUUAUUUUAAAUUUAAUUCAUGCUAGAUAUAGUUGGACGUAUGGUGAAUGGAAGUUAAAUUAUUUUUCAAGCAUAUCACCAAGGUUGAAAUGAAGAUGUUCAAAAGAUUUAAAAGCAAUGGAUGCAACCAGGAAACGUACAAAUAGGGGAGUUAAAUCACAUUUAAUUAAAACUGGGGGUUACACUAUAAUUCAUUUUGAUUUUGAAGUCAAACUCUUAUCUUUGGUUAGUCAUGAUGGAGUACAUUUAUCGUUUAUUGGCAAUGAUAUAGUUUUGAAUUCUUUUCAAACUGCUUUAGAACAAUUUGAUAAUAUACCAAAUAAUUCUGUUUAUCCGAUGCAUGAAUGAUGUUUGUUUAUAUUUGUUGUAUGUUGAAAUGAAUAACAACUAGUUGAUAUAUUUUCGUUUAAUUUAUGCUGCUUAUUCAAUUGUCAUGGCGGAUUAGCAUUUGAUUGAGAGUUCAAUAAAAUGCCAAUUUUGGCAGUGAUUUAUUCAAAUAUUGUUCAUUGAGCUGUUAUGGAUCUGCCCAGCAGCUAGAAAUUAUUAUGCAUUUACUGUUGGUUUUACCUUCAGUGACCAAUUGUCAUCAAGUUUUAACUUGUUGGCCAGUUUGUUGAUGUUGGUUGUUUGUUGGUUGAUAUUGUUGAAUAUUGUUGAAUAAAUGCCAUGACAAAUAAUAAGCCAAAUU